CAUGGAAUGCCCCAAAACAACCAGUAUGAUAAGAAGGCCAGAGUAUACAGCUUCCCAAAAUGUUGAAAGACUAAGCUGUUUUUUCUAAGGACUUGUAUACUAUUUAGAUUGAAAUUAGCCAUGGACAAUGAAUUUGGAGGUGCAUGCUGGAGCAUCAGAAAUUAAAGACUUGGAAUAAAUAUUUGCAUAAUAUACAAGUAACAUUUACUGAAAAGUGACUAAUGUUUGUUAAUA
rnacentral:lncRNA from 1 species